rnacentral:ncRNA from 1 species
AUAAAGUUUUAUUUUGGCUUAUUAAUUUGUUGUUAAUUUAAUUUAUAUGUAAAUUUUUUUGUGAUUAUUUAAUUAUUUUAAUAAUGAUAAAAAUUAUUUUUUAUUCGCAAUAAUUAGUAUUAUUAAUUAAAGAAAUUUAGAAAAAGUAAUAUAAAAUAAGUAUUGAUUAAAUUUGUGCCAGCAUUCGCGGUUAUACAAAUAAUACAAAUAAAUUUUAUUAGUAAAAGUUAAAUUUUUAAAAAUUAAUUAAAUUAAUUUAUUAAGUGAAAUUUUUAAAUUAAUUAUAAAAAAAAUAAAAAUUAAAGCUUGAAAAUUUUAAAAAUAAACUAGGAUUAGAUACCCUAUUAUUAAAAAUAUAAUGUAAAUAAACUAAAGUAGUAGUAGUUAUGUUCUUGAAACUUAAAAAAUUUGGCGGUAUUUUAGUCUAUUCAGAGGAACCUGUUUUAUAAUCGAUAAUCCACGAUGGACCUUACUUAUUUUUGUCAACAGUUUAUAUACCGUCGUUAUUAGAAUAUUUCAUAAGAAUAUUAAUAUUCAAAAUUUUUUUUUAAAAAUAUAUCAGAUCAAGGUGUAGCUUAUAUUUAAGUAAAAAUGGGUUACAAUAAAUUUAUUUAUAUGGAUAUAAAUUUGAAAAAAUUUAUUAAAAGUGGAUUUGAUAGUAAAAUUAUAAAGAUUAAUAAUUUGAUUUUAGCUCUAAAAUAUGUACACAUCGCCCGUCACUCUUAUUAUUAAGAUAAGAUAAGUCGUAACAUAGUAAAUGUACUGGAAAGUGUAUUUAGAAUG